CUUGCUGACGACCGGCGAACGGGUGAGUAACGCGUAGGAAUCUGCCUCAAAGUGGGGGACAGCCCGGGGAAACUCGGAUUAAUACCGCAUAUAUUCUAAGGAAUAAAGAUGCCUUUUGGUGUCGCUUUGAGAUGAGCCUGCGUCCGAUUAGCUUGUUGGUAAGGUAAAAGCUUACCAAGGCGACGAUCGGUAGCUGGUCUGAGAGGACGUACAGCCACACUGGGACUGAGACACGGCCCAGACUCCUACGGGAGGUAGCAGUGGGGAAUAUUGCACAAUGGGCGAAAGCCUGAUGCAGCCAUGCCGCGUGUGUGAAGAAGGCCUUCGGGUUGUAAAGCACUUUCAGUCAGGAGGAAAGGGUGUGAGUUAAUACCUCAUAUCUGUGACGUUACUGACAGAAGAAGCACCGGCUAACUCCGUGCCAGCAGCCGCGGUAAUACGGAGGGUGCGAGCGUUAAUCGGAAUUACUGGGCGUAAAGCGUACGCAGGCGGUUUGUUAAGCGAGAUGUGAAAGCCCCGGGCUCAACCUGGGAACUGCAUUUCGAACUGGCAAACUAGAGUGUGAUAGAGGGUGGUAGAAUUUCAGGUGUAGCGGUGAAAUGCGUAGAGAUCUGAAGGAAUACCGAUGGCGAAGGCAGCCACCUGGGUCAACACUGACGCUCAUGUACGAAAGCGUGGGGAGCAAACGGGAUUAGAUACCCCGGUAGUCCACGCCGUAAACGAUGUCUACUAGAAGCUCGGAACCUCGGUUCUGUUUUUCAAAGCUAACGCAUUAAGUAGACCGCCUG
rnacentral:rRNA from 1 species